AUCGCUUCUCGGCCUUUUGGCUAAGAUCAAAGUGUAGUAUCUGUUCUUAUCGGCUUAAUCUCCGGUACGAUGUCUAUUGACAUCUUCGAGAUUAACUGAUUUUUGAAACCGGGAUGGUUUGCAGGGGCUUGCUCCUCGCCAUCCACGGGUCGGCCCGGUAUUGCACUGCCUCCGGGAUCGGCCCUUCCCUU
rfam:Pristionchus pacificus strain PS312 contig12681, whole genome shotgun sequence.